AUGCCGACGCUGACGAAGCUGUACAGCAUGAAGGAGGCCGCCCUCCACAACACCCCCGACGACUGCUGGAUCGUCGUCGACGGCAAGAUUUAUGAUGUGACCGCGUAUUUGGAUGACCAUCCUGGGGGUGCUGAUGUUCUGCUUGCCGUGACUGGUAUGGAUGGCACCGACGAAUUUGAAGAUGCGGGCCACAGCAAGGAUGCCAAGGCGUUAAUGAAGGAUUACUUCAUUGGGGAGUUGGACUUGGACGAAGCACCUGACAUGCCUGAGAUGGAGGUUUUCAGGAAAGAGCAGGACAAGGACUUCGCCAGCAAGCUGGUGGAUUACGCUGUGCAGUACUGGGCCAUUCCGGUAGCAGCAGCCGGGAUAUCAGCCGUGGUUGCCAUAUUGUAUGCACGGAGGAAGUGA
rnacentral:rRNA from 1 species